rnacentral:rRNA from 2 species
AUAAUGGGUCAGCGACUUAUAUUCUGUAGCAAGGUUAACCGAAUAGGGGAGCCGGAGGGAAACCGAGUCUUAAUUGGGCGUUAAGUUGCAGGGUAUAGACCCGAAACCCGGUGAUCUAGCCAUGGGCAGGUUGAAGGUUGGGUAACACUAACUGGAGGACCGAACCGACUAAUGUUGAAAAAUUAGCGGAUGACCUGUGGCUGGGGGUGAAAGGCCAAUCAAACCGGGAGAUAGCUGGUUCUCCCCGAAAGCUAUUUAGGUAGCGCCUCGUGAAUUCAUCUCCGGGGGUAGAGCACUGUUUCGGCUAGGGGGCCAUCCCGGCUUACCAACCCGAUGCAAACUGCGAAUACCGGAGAAUGUUAUCACGGGAGACACACGGCGGGUGCUAACGUCCGUCGUGAAGAGGGAAACAACCCAGACCGCCAGCUAAGGUCCCAAAGUCAUGGUUAAGUGGGAAACGAUGUGGGAAGGCCCAGACAGCCAGGAUGUUGGCUUAGAAGCAGCCAUCAUUUAAAGAAAGCGUAAUAGCUCACUGGUCGAGUCGGCCUGCGCGGAAGAUGUAACGGGGCUAAACCAUGCACCGAAGCUGCGGCAGCGACGCUGAUGCGUUGUUGGGUAGGGGAGCGUUCUGUAAGCCUGCGAAGGUGGCCUGUGAGGGUUGCUGGAGGUAUCAGAAGUGCGAAUGCUGACAUAAGUAACGAUAAAGCGGGUGAAAAGCCCGCUCGCCGGAAGACCAAGGGUUCCUGUCCAACGUUAAUCGGGGCAGGGUGAGUCGACCCCUAAGGCGAGGCCGAAAGGCGUAGUCGAUGGGAAACGGGUUAAUAUUCCCGUACUUGGUGUUACUGCGAAGGGGGGACGGAGAAGGCUAUGUUGGCCGGGCGACGGUU